rnacentral:rRNA from 1 species
GAUGAACGCUAGCGGCAGGCUUAAUACAUGCAAGUCGAGGGGCAGCAGGUCUGUAGCAAUACAGAUGCUGGCGACCGGCAAACGGGUGCGGAACACGUACAGAACCUUCCUUCGAGCGGGGAAUAGCCCAGAGAAAUUUGGAUUAAUACCCCAUAGUAUAUUGAAGAGGCAUCUCUUUAAUAUUAAAGAUUUAUCACUUGAAGAUGGCUGUGCGGCUGAUUAGGUAGUUUGCGGGGUAAAGGCCCACCAAGCCUGCGAUCAGUAACUGGUGUGAGCGCACGACCAGUCACACGGACGCUGAGACACGGGCCCGACUCCUACGGGAGGCAGCAGUAAGGAAUAUUGGUCAAUGGACGCAAGUCUGAACCAGCCAUGCCGCGUGGAGGAUGAAGGUCCUCUGGAUUGUAAACUUCUUUUAUCUGGGACGAAAAAGGGUCUUUCUAGAUCAACUGACGGUACCAGAUGAAUAAGCACCGGCUAACUCCGUGCCAGCCGCCGCGGUAA